UACGUAGGGGGCAAGCGUUGUCCGGAUUUAUUGGGCGUAAAGAGCGUGUAGGCGGCCAGAUAGGUCUGUUGUGAAAACUCGAGGCUCAACCUCGAGACGCCGAUGGAAACCAUCUGGCUAGAGUCCGGAAGAGGAGAGUGGAAUUCCUGGUGUAGCGGUGAAAUGCGCAGAUAUCAGGAAGAACACCCGUGGCUAAGGCGGCUCUCUAGUACGGUACUGACGCUGAGACGCGAAAGCGUGGGGAGCGAACAGG
rnacentral:rRNA from 1 species